UCUCCACACCGACUCCUAUCAGACCUCUGCUAAUAGCAGAGUCCUUCCUAGCUCUUCAGUGAAGAUGGCGCAGGCACUAUCAGAGGAGGAGUUCCAUCGAAUGCAGGCUCAUCUUUUAGAGCUGAGGACACAGAACUACCAACUUUCUGAUGACCUGCGGAAGAACACAGCUGAGCUAAUGGCUGUUCGUCAGAAGACUCUGACCUUGGAGAAGGAUUACAUCAAAGCACAGAAGGCUUUGAAUAAGAGCAAGAAAGCUCAGGAGGUGGAUGCCUUACUCAGCGAGAAUGAGAUGCUGCAAGGGAAACUGCACAGCCAGGAGGAUGACUUCAGACUGCAAAACAGCACCCUGAUGCAGGAGCUGUCCAAGUUAUGUACUCAGAUAGAGGAGUUAGAACAGGAAAACAAACACCUAAAGGAUGGAAAAGUGUUUCAGGCUGAAUCCUCCAGUCCCACCUCCAGCUCUGUGGAUGGAGAGCUACUGCGUCUCCAGGCAGAAAACGCUGCCCUUCAGAAAAAGAUGACGGCCCUUCAGGAGCGUUCUGAGAGUGCGAUAAAGAGCCAGAGGGGAGUGGAGGUCAGUGACACCAACGCCUCAGAGAUGGAUGGGCCGGCUGACGCUAAUGGUGUCCAGUUGCACUCUGACGUCAGUGAGAACAUGGAGGAUGCUGCCUCUGGAACCAAUGACAGACUGGAACAGGCAGAGGCAAAGUGUGCCAAACUGGAACAGCGAGUGAAUGAGCUUAUCGGACCUGCAGUGAGGAGCACUGGUCUAGUUAUGAAACAGGAUGCUCUUAGGUGGUCAGCACUGUGUCCAAAUCCAAUAACGCAAUGCUUUGGGCCAGAGGUGGAACUGCAGCUGCACACUGAGGUGGAGGAGAAGCGCCUACUGAAGGAGCAGCUCCAAGCACUAGAGUCAUCCAAACAGACAGACAUCAAUAAACUCCAAGAAGAGAUAGCGAAGCUCUCUGAAAAAUUGAAGAAAAAGCAAGACAGCUUUCUGCAUUUGCAAGGUGAAAAAGAAGACCUUUACAAUGACAGCAGGACCAAAAUCGACGAGAUUCAACAGAGGAAGGAGGAGGAGUUGAAGUCAAUGAAUAUUCGCAUUCAGAAGUUACAGGGAGAUCUACUGUCAGCCAACCAGAGUGUUGGUGAGAUGAAGGAACAGCUCCAGAGCCGGGAGAAGGAGCAUGAGUUAGUUCUACACACACUCAAAGAUCAGGUAGCUUGUCAGAGUGCAGUGAGUCAGGAGCAGGUGGAGAGUAUCCUGACUGAGAACGAUGCUCUCAGGACUAACCUAGCGGCUCUAGAACAGAUUCAGACAGUGAAGACUCAGGAGAUGAACCUUUUGCGUGACCAAAACACGGCUCUGAAUGUGGAGCUGCAGCAGCGACGGACGGAGCAGGAGAGCUUUCUGGCACAGAGAGAUGACCUUAACUCUCAGCUACAGGAGUCGAACCGUGCCAACAGCAGACUGUUGGAGCAGCUGACUGAAGUUGGCCAGGAGAAAGACGGGCUACAGCAAGAGCUGGAGGAGGCUAAAAAGACAGCAGACAAGCGGAAGGCCAUACUGGACGAGCUGGCCAUCGAGAUAAUCACAGAGAAGUCGCGGCACAAGGAAGAGCUGAGCGACAUGCGUCUGCAGCAUGAGAAGGAGGUGCUGGGGGUGCGGGCCCGCUACGAGAAGGAGCUGAGAGGCCUCCACGAGGACAAGAACCGCACCGAGGAGGAGAUCCGCUCACAGCUCCGAGAUGAGAAGGCUCGCAACAAGGAGUUGGAGGGUCUGCAGCAGAGUGUAGAGGAGCUGCAGGCCCAGGUCCAGUCUAUGGAGGGCACUAAGGGCUGGUUCGAACGCAGACUCAAAGAGGCUGAGGAGAGCAUGGAGAAAAGCAGUCUGGAGCACCAUGAGCAGAUAGAGAAGCUGCAGAAGGAACAUUCUCUCCAGCUGGAGGGAAAGGCAUCUGAUAUAGAUAGUGUGAAGCUGCAGUUGACGGAGGUAGAGAAAGAGAGGGAUGUGCACAAUGAAACCAUUGGAAAACUGAAGCAGGAGAUUAAAGACACAGUGGAUGGCCAGAGGAUCCUGGAGAAGAAAGGUAGUUCAGCACUGAAAGACUUGAAGAGGCAACUACAGCUGGAGAGGAAGAGAGCUGAUAAACUACAGGAGCGGCUACAGGAGAUCCUCACCAACACCAAGACCAGGACAGGCCUGGAGGAGCUGGUGUUGUCAGAGAUCAGCUCUCCUAAUCGUACGCAGCAGAGGGGAGAUAGCAGCAGUGUCUCCUCCUUCAGCUAUGGGGAGAUCAUGAAGGAGGGCGCCUCUGCACAGAGCACCAACAAGUCCGCCAGCGGCAGCCCCCAGUCCCAGCGGCCUGCUGACCUGUCUGAUGAUGAGGUUGGGGAACUCUUCCUGAGGCUGGCUGAGGUGCAGCAAGAGAAGUGGAUGUUGGAGGAGAAGGUUAAACACCUGGAGGUCAGCUGCUCCUCCAUGGCUGAUGACAUCUGUAAGAAGAGUGCCAUCAUCGAGACCUAUGUCAUGGACAGCAGGAUAGCACAUGGUGCACAUGGUGUGGCGGCAGUGGCCAAUCACGGGGGCCAGGUGGGGGGCCAUGGACAUGGUCUGGGCUCUGUGCUCAGGGACCUGGUGAAGCCUGGGGACGAGAACCUGCGGGAGAUGAACAAAAAGCUGCAGAACAUGCUGGAGGAACAGCUGACAAAGAACAUGCAUCUACAGAAGGAUCUUGAAGUUCUGUCUCAGGAGAUUGUCCGUUUAAGUAAAGACUCAAGUUAUGGAGCUGGCUCAGCCACGGGCUAAAAGACUGGACCCAGUCCCUCUGACCAGCACUCCUCCUUCACUCUCUCAUCACCUGUUUCUGUGGCUAAUGAGGAUACUACACAUUCAUCCAUGCUGACUGAACCUCUGGCCCGGGAACACAGAUAAAUGGAGAGAGAGGAAGGCAUGUUUGGCAGAUGUGUUCCGGAACUUUCUUUGAACAACCAGUCACCCAUUGGAGACAAAAUGGAAGACUUUGAUUCAGAUGAGUAUAUUGGGUAUAAUAAGUGAUACUGUAGAUAAGUACACUCUGCACUUUUUCAAUACAUUAAAGAUUGUGUGCUUUAUUUAAUUCAUCCUGUCCACUUUUCCAUUUACUUGCCUUUAAAUAUUUGAAUUGCCAAACUCGGCUGCAGCAAAGUCCUCAUUACUACUAAAAGAUAUAAUCAUUCAGGGUUUUAUUAAAAGGUAUAGAACACAGCACUCAACUGCUUCCCCAGUGGACUAUUCCUUUCUUUCAGAUGUAUGUAUUUGUCAACUGUUUCUCCAGCUAAAUGAUAUUCAUGAAGUGUCAAUAAAAAUGGCUGUAAAAUGUA